AAGGGAGACCUAAUUCAGGUAUGGGACGAAAAAAAAGUAGUCGCUACCAAGAAUCAAUCCCAAAAGGUCGGAGCGAGGUAUGAGGCUUUCAAACUAGGUUCUGGGUUCAAACAAGACCUGAAUCAGGAACAAGGGCUAUUAGCUCAGGUGGUUAGAGCGCACCCCUGAUAAGGGUGAGGUCCCUGGUUCGAGUCCAGGACGGCCCACCUGCACAGGUGGCAAAAACAAGAGAAGCGAGGAAUCAGCACCUUAUCUUAUCUAUAUAUAAGAGAGAAUGCUGGCUCUGAGUAAAGAGUCCAGAGGAACCUUGAAAACUGCAUAGAGCUAGGUGAAAAAGCCAAAAAAGAAGACCGCAA
rnacentral:tRNA from 1 species